UACGGAGGGUGCGAGCGUUAAUCGGAAUUACUGGGCGUAAAGGGCGCGUAGGCGGCCCAUCAGGUCAGGUGUGAAAGCCCGGGGCUUAACCCCGGAAGUGCAUUUGAAACCGGUGGGCUUGAGUAUGGGAGAGGAAAGUGGAAUUCCUGGUGUAGAGGUGAAAUUCGUAGAUAUCAGGAGGAACACCAGUGGCGAAGGCGACUUUCUGGACCAAUACUGACGCUGAGGCGCGAAGGCGUGGGUAGCAAACAGG
rnacentral:rRNA from 1 species